rnacentral:rRNA from 1 species
UAAGGAAUAUUGGGCAAUGGGCGCAAGCCUGACCCAGCCAUGCCGCGUGCAGGAUGACUGCCCUAUGGGUUGUAAACUGCUUUUAUACGGGAAAAAACCCUCGAACGUGUUCGGGGCUGAUGGUACCGUAAGAAUAAGGAUCGGCUAACUCCGUGCCAGCAGCCGCGGUAAUACGGAGGAUCCAAGCGUUAUCCGGAUUUAUUGGGUUUAAAGGGUGCGUAGGCGGAAUGGUAAGUCAGCGGUGAAAUCUCCCAGCUUAACUGGGAAACUGCCGUUGAUACUGCCAAUCUUGAGUACGGUUGAAGUGGGCGGAAUGUAGCAUGUAGCGGUGAAAUGCUUAGAUAUGCUACAGAACACCGAUUGCGAAGGCAGCUCACUAAGCCGCAACUGACGCUGAGGC